AGAGUUUGAUCCUGGCUCAGGACGAACGCUGGCGGCGUGCUUAACACAUGCAAGUCGAGCGGUAAGGCCUCUUUGGGGGUACACGAGCGGCGAACGGGUGAGUAACACGUGGGUGACCUGCCCUCAGCUCUGGGAUAAGCCUGGGAAACUGGGUCUAAUACUGGAUAUUCACUUCUCAUCGCAUGGUGGGUGGUGGAAAGUUUUUUCGGCUGGGGAUGGGCCCGCGGCCUAUCAGCUUGUUGGUGGGGUGAUGGCCUACCAAGGCGACGACGGGUAGCCGGCCUGAGAGGGCGACCGGCCACACUGGGACUGAGACACGGCCCAGACUCCUACGGGAGGCAGCAGUGGGGAAUAUUGCGCAAUGGGCGGAAGCCUGACGCAGCGACGCCGCGUGGGGGAUGACGGCCUUCGGGUUGUAAACCUCUUUCGACCGGGACGAAGGGUGACUGACGGUACCGGUAGAAGAAGCACCGGCCAACUACGUGCCAGCAGCCGCGGUAAUACAGAGGUGGCAAGCGUUGUUCGGAAUUACUGGGCGUAAAGGGCGCGUAGGCGGUCUUGUCAGUCCCUUGUGAAAUCCCCCGGCUCAACUGGGGAACU
rnacentral:rRNA from 1 species